UCAUUUUAAAAAUCCAGGGUUUUAAGCAGUUUGUACUACAUGUAUAAGUCCAAAACUACACAUAUGCCGUAGCCACUCAAUAGUAAAGGAUAUGUGAACUGAUUAAAAUAAGUAAAUCAUGAGAAUUUGCAUUUAGAUUAAGUUGAAUAAGAGACCAGGGAGCCAAGGUGUGCAUUCAAGUGAAUGGGAAACCAGAAUGGCAUGGAGAAAACAGAAGAGCUCAAGUGGAUUCCCUUCUACACAGAGGGGCUGAAAGGAGCCAGAGGGUAAGUGAAAGGUUCUACAGAAGAUAAAGAGCAAGAAGACAGUACUCUUGAUGUUGAAGUCCUACCCAGGAAGAGCUGUUUGUUUCUAGAAUAGGAAUAAGUAAUGUAGUUGCAUCAAUUUGGGAUGUCAACCAAGGAAACAAUGGCAUUAUGAUUGAAAACCAGUUAUUUUCUUGUAUGCUGGUUUCAUUCAAAUUCAAUGUUAAUUAUCAUGCAUUCAAGUAUUAGUAAAAUCAGGCAAUAAGCUUAAAGGAAUUCAAUGCCCUGUGUUUCUCUAUUGGCAAAAUUGCCUUAGUAGUAAACAGAAAUAAAGUUUUAAAGAUUAGAAAAAUAGUCAAAAUUUUUUUUUUCUUUUUCUCUAAAUUUUGUAGAAUUUUCUGUCUAGGAACAUGUAUAUAUACAUUCACAUAUAUGAAUUUAUAUGAAUAUAUAUAUAUAUAUAUGUAGAUAUACACACAUUUAUAUGUGUGUGUUUAAAACUACAGGCCAAUUUGAAAAGAAGUUAAUCAUCAAUAAUUUAUUUAAAUCUUAUAAAACAAGUUCUUAUCUAGUAACAAGUCAUAAUUUUAGGUUGUUUCUACACAGAUACCCAUGCACUGGAACUGUUUAAGGCAAGUAUGUUAACCUGGAAUCUAUGGAAUCAUAAAGGAUCCAUGGAUGAGCUUCAGUAGGCUUACAGCCUCCCUGAAAUUAUAUUGAUAUUUGUAUAUUUAUGUCCUUGUAAGUUUCUAGCAUCUAGAGACAUUGGAGGAUUCAUAACUGAUUCCUAAUAUCCCAAAAGUUUUAGCCUGUUUUAUGUAAAACAAUUCAUCAACUAUUUAAAAUAAAAAUAAAUAAAACUAUAAAACAAAAUCCACCAGAACAUUGACGGAUUAUAAAGGGAGGAUUUGAAAAUCUAUUAGCAAGAUACUACUUCUGUCCAGACAUCUCUGAUCUUCUGUAGUCAUUUUUCUCAAAAAUUUUUUUUUCUAGAUAGUCCCCAUAAUUAUUGAACUUCUGUACUCAGACAAUAAGAUGGGGUGUUUUUUAACCACUUUCUUCGUCUGUCAAAGAACCCUACUCUGGGUUGACAUAUCCCUGGGUUCACACUAACAUUUCUGGGUUUCUCUAUUCUCAUCCCAAAGGUUUCGAUGAUCAGGCUGGAGAGUGGAACAGAGAGGAUUUUAGAGCUCAUCUUUAUUUAUGUUGUAUCUGAUGCAAGAAGCAAUAAACAACACAUUUUCAUAAAGGUACCAAGUCAAUCAAAGUGGAAUGGAGGGAAAACACUUCUCAAGAUUCAUCAGAGUUUAUCAACAAUGUCAGGUGCAUGCUUCUCAAAUAAAAACACACAUGCCAAUGGAAAAACAAGCCAGCUACUAGGUUUGUAUAAAUGGUACUACAUGUUAUAAAUAAUGAAUCCCUGGCAUAUAUAAUUUUACAUUUUGAUUAGUAUCUAAUUUACAUAAUUUUAUACAGAUGAUUCUACUCUUUUACUCAGGUAUAUUUACCAAUUAGUACCAUCCCUUCCACAUACACACUAUUCAGCCAAAAUGACAUGCUGUAGGGGAUCUAUAUAAGCCCUCCAAGUGAUUCUUUUUCAGACUAAAGUUUGAGAACCGUUGCAUUACUCUGGACUAAGUCUCUGAAAGUUUCUAUAGCUUACAUAUUUAUAUAUGUUAUGCAUGUAUAUGAAGGAUAUGAUUGCAUACUAUAGAAUACAAACAUUAUUACAUAGGCAAACUUCAUAGCAGAAAUAAAAAGAAAAGCCUAAGUGGAUUCUGCAUUGACUGACAAAGAAAACCUAUGCCAAUUUUUACAGAAUUCGUUUUCAUAAACUAUUAACCUAAGGUAAAAGUUCCCUAUGAUGUCAUAACCUAAUACAUGUAGACUGGAAGAAGUAUUGUCUAAUGCCUCAAUCUUACUACAUUUAUCUGCUUAAUUAGAGGUAUGUUGAGCCUGAGUUAAAAUGUAUUUAGUAUAUAUAAAAUACCAAUAACAAAUAAUAUUAGUGAAUUUAAAGAAAAGUGUUAUGUUUCAGAAACAAUUGAAAAAUCGUCAUGACUUAUGUCAAAAUCUAGUAUUGGGUAUGAAGUCAAGCCAGAAAACAUCAUAUAUACUUGAUUUAUAACUAGAAUGGAUUAUUUACAUAUUGCUAACUAUCAAUCAAACC